UACGUAGGGGGCAAGCGUUGUCCGGAUUUAUUGGGCGUAAAGCGCGUGUAGGCGGCCAGAUAGGUCUGAUGUGAAAACUGGAGGCUCAACCUCCAGCUGUCAUCAGAAACCAUUUGGCUAGAGUCCGGAAGAGGAGAGUGGAAUUCCUGGUGUAGCGGUGAAAUGCGCAGAUAUCAGGAAGAACACCUAUGGCGAAGGCAGCUCUCUGGGACGGUACUGACGCUGAGACGCGAAAGCGUGGGGAGCGAACAGG
rnacentral:rRNA from 1 species